rnacentral:rRNA from 1 species
UACGGAGGGGGCGAGCGUUGUCCGAAGUUACUGGGCGUAAAGGGCGCGUAGGCGGGUUGGCAAGUCUGCUGUGAAAGCCCGGAGCUUAACUCCGGAGGGUCGGUGGAUACUGCCAGUCUUGAAGGUGCCAGGGGGAGAUGGAAUUACCGGUGUAGCGGUGAAAUGCGUAGAUAUCGGUAGGAACACCAGUGGCGAAGGCGGUCUCCUGGAGCAUUCUUGACGCUGAGGCGCGAAAGCUGGGGGGAGCGAACGGG